rnacentral:tmRNA from 1 species
GGGCCUGUACCGGUUUCGACGGGGGUCUAGAACUUAGGAUAGCCAUCCGCGGCCUCAUACCGCGUUACCAAAUGAGAAAUUAAAUUUAAACGCAGACAAUAAGUUAGCGUUCGCAGCCUAAGCGCUGCGUGUCGCCCGCAGUUAGCCUACUGAUUGCGGAUACGGCAUCAAACAGGUAGGGAACCUCGCAUGCAAAGCUUUGAGCGUGUGAGAGAUUUAUGAAGCUACCGGAGCUGCCGGCUUGUCGGCUGCCUUGCGGCCCCGGGAAUCAAUUGCAACUGACUGUGAUGGGAGAAGUCUUAACGGAAGGGCUUUCGGACAGGGGUUCAACUCCCCUCAGGUCCAC